rnacentral:lncRNA from 1 species
UUAUAUUUCAACGUGUAUAUUAGCUUGCAGUAAAUCUUUGAACUACGAUAAGAGUUGCCGUAAACGUCCGUUUUCAGCUAUCGAGACAGACAAAUGGUAACCCUUUCCGUUCCUCGCGCUAUUUAUAGAAAGGUAAACAGACAACGAAAAUUCACACACAAAUGCAGAAAUAAACCAGGAAUCUGAUUUUGUAAGUAUCUCGACUAAAAUUGUAGAAGAAGGUAGGAAAUUAUUAAUAUUAACGACAUUUUUUUGAUGUUUUUGCCAAAAAUAAGUGUUAUUUCUAAAAAUAACGGGGGGAUCCAUACUUUUCCAAAAUCUAGAAUAUUUUCUCCGUUAAAUCUUGUUGGAUAUGUGUUGAUCUGUACUACAUGAGCAAGGCGCGAUCCUGGUAAAGAUGGCAUGUUUCGUCUAAGAAAAUGAGAAUAAAGACAGCCGUGAACGUUCACGACGUUACAAACCACAUGAAAUAUUUUCUCAUUGGAAUAAUAAAAUUGGCGCUCCGUAGAACUACUAGAAGUGUUUUCCUAUUUUACAACUUUGAUAUCGGUGAUAAACAUUUAACAAUUAUCUUUUUAUUUAAUACUGUGUUUCAAUUACAUCACGAAGAAAACUAGAGUAUAUACUCUUCACACUGAUAAUCACUCGAGGAUAAUUAUUAUCGACGGUCUAGAAUUUCUGUUGGUUCGUAAUUUAGAUAUAUGGGUUAAUUCCCUUUCCAGGUAAACUAUUGAGGCACUAUGCGGGAUAAUAAAUAAAAAUAGCUUCAUUCAAAGUCGGCAGGACAAAUAAGCUAUAUAGUUCCAUAUAUUUUGUAACUGCCAUAAUAUAAUUCCCUAUGAACUGCAUUAUAUAGUAAGAUGACAGAAGGCUGUAAUGUUUAUAUUAUUUGCUAGGCAAAUCAGAGAAAAUAAUAUAAUUAUGAAAAUUGUCAAAUAACUAUUAAGUAGUAUUUUUUUUAUCAUUAUUUUCUUGUUUGUAAUUAAUUUGUACUGAAGGGCCCUUUAAUAAUAAAUAGAAUAAUUUUUUUUUUAUUUGAUUUGUAGUUCAAAUAUUGUAAAAUUAUUAAUUAUAAAAAGGAAGAUGUGGUAUGAUUGCGGCAAUUUGUCAAUGAGACAACUCUCCACACUAAGUAAAGAGACACAGAAAUUAGCAACUAUAGAUUACUGUAUAGCCUUCAACAAUAAGCAAUAAGCAAAGCCUGUACCGAAUAGAAAGCUAUAAAGAGCCUUGAAAAGACAGUGCAAUUAAAAAAGAAAACGAACGACCUAAUCUGUGUACAAAAUGAACAAAUUCAAACAUGUACAUAUGUAUGUCAUAAACAACGACAAUUACUGAAUAAGAGGCUCCUGAAUUAGGACAGGCACGUACAUACAUAAUGUGGCGGUGUUAAAUAUUUUAGCGGGAUCUCUAGUCCAUUUGCUGCAAUUUGAUAUCGAUAAUUCAUUGAAAAAAUAUUUAAAAUAUAUUUAAGUAUGAUAAAUUAUUGAUAAAUAAAUGUGAUCAAAUUUACAAUCAUGGCAAUUGCUGGUAAACAUUUGAUACCUCUGUUGCGUAGAUUUAUUUUUGAAGUAUAACUGUGACCAUCGAAAAUUCAAACUUAUUAAUUAAAAGCAGCAACCUUUCCCGUAAAUACAUUUAAUAUAAAGAACGUUUGUAAAUGAUCAAAUCAAAGAAAUUACACAUAUGCAAAUUAAAAAUAUGCAUGAUACAAAGGUAUUUCACCUUUCAAUAAGUGUAAAUUACCUAGACUUCAAUCAUUCCAUUAGUAUUAAAACCCACUAUAGAAAGUUAGGUGUCUUUCUGACUGUGUUGGGUGCAUAAAUACGCAGUAACGAUCAGUGGGGAUGGAGACUUAAUUUAAUUAUAAUAAAAUUGAGAAUGGAAAUGGGGAAUGUGUCAAAGAGACAACAACCCGACCAAAUAAAAAACAACAACAGAAGGUCACCAACAGGUCUUCAAUGUAGCGAGAAAUUCCCGCACCCGGAGUCAUUAGAUUGAACUGAUGUGCAAUGACUCAUGACAGCUAUGUUGUUGUUCUCUAACAAGCAAACCACAGGCCAAUUGACAACAUAAAAUCAGCAUGUACUCAACCACACAUGGUUAAAGCCAGGCAUAUAAGCAAAAAAAUCUAAUUCUAAAAGGUGCAUGUAAAUAGGAUUUUUAAAUGUAGUAUUUUAACAUUUUAAUGAAAGUAGGUUAAUUAAAUACAUGGUUAUAUUGACAAAGUUACAUCAUACAUAUCAGUUUGCAACUACAGAAAACUAUACUGGAAAUUGUUUAUAAAUUUUGUAUUCAUCAGCUCUAGACAGAAGUUGAUAUUUUUGUUUUGUAUCCCCCUGAAUAUAAUGAAAUAUUUGCCACUUGAAAUUAAUCAACCAAUCUAUAUCUUUGAUCCUCCUGAAUAUAAUGAAAUAUUUGCCACUGGAAUUUAUUAACCAAUCUAUAUCUUUGAUCAUCCUGAAUAUAAUGAAAUAUUUGCCACUGGAAUUUAUUAACCAAUCUAAAUCUUUGAUCAUCCUGAAUAUAAUGAAAUAUUCGCCACUGGAAUUUAUUAACCAAUUUAUAUCUUUGAUCAUCCUGAAUAUAAUGAAAUAUUUGUGACUGGGAAUUAAUUAACCAAUCUAUAUCUUUGAUCCUCCUGACUAUAAUGAAAUAUUUGCCACUGGGCAUUUAUCAACCGAUCUCGUAUUCUUUGAAAGGAAGAUACUCCUUUAUUUUUAAUAUAAUGAUGAUUAUAUAUAAAAUGAAAAAGAGUUUACAUGUUUGUUAAAAACAUAAAGGAUAGAACAAAUGGUUUUUAUUUCUACUAUUUUAUACUUUCAGGCUGUGAAACAACUGCUUAGCAAUCAUAUGGAACUAGCUGUUAGAUGGUGUUUGAUGAAGGAACUUUUUUAUUCAGACUUAAUGUAGAACAUUUUAAAAAAUAAGUUUGUCAUGUCUUUGUAAUUGUUAUAUAAAGAAAAGAAAAAACCCACCAAAAUAAAG